AUGAAGCAGAUCACUGGGUGUAAGGUCAGCGGCAGACAGUCAUCGGGCAGCCUGGAGAGGGCAAACGAGCUGAACAGAUUCUUCAAUAGGUUCAGCUCACAGCAUUCUGUCGUCUCCCUGACACCUCCAGACCCCCACACACCCUCACUGCCCCAAAUGCUUCCUCCUCUCCCCCCUCACUCCCCUGCUGUGAGCUCUCCUGUGCAGCACCUCUCCUCCUCCUCCACCUCUUCUUCCUCCUACACCUCUUCCUCCUCCACCUCCUCCUCCUCUACCUCCUUCUCCUCCACCUCCUCCUCCACCUCCUCGUCCUCCACUGAAGACACCAGCAGCCUCCCCCGCAUGACUGUGACUGCAGGCCAGGUUAGGAGACAGCUGGAGAGACUCCACCAGCAGAAGGCUGCAGGUCCUGACGGUAUCAGCCCCAGGAUCCUGAAGACAUGUGCCAGCCAGCUGUCUCCUAUCCUACAACACCUCUACAACCUGAGCCUGGGUCAGGAGAGAAUACCGGUGCUUUGGAAGACUUCCUGCCUGGUUCCUGUUCCAAAGAAGUCGACACCAUCAGACCUCAAUGACUAUCGACCAGUGGCCCUCACAUCUUACGUCAUGAAGGUGCUGGAGAGACUGGUUUUGGCCAACCUGAGGCCGCAGGUGAGAGCCCUGCUAGACCCUCUGCAAUUUGCUUACCAGCCCCACUUGGGAGUUGAUGACGCUGUCAUCUUCCUGCUGCAACGAGCCCAUUCGCACCUGGAUGAUGGAGGAGGCACUGUGAGAAUCACAUUCUUUGAUUUCUCUAGUGCUUUUAACACCAUUCAGCCACUGCUACUGGGGGAGAAGCUGCGGGUGAUGGGUGUAGACGACACAAUGAUCUCCUGGAUUACUGACUACCUGACAGGCAGGCCACAGUUUGUCCGUAUGGGCAGUGUUCUGUCUGAUGCGGUGGUUAGUGAUACAGGAGCUCCACAGGGGACUGUACUGUCUCCUUUUCUGUUCACCUUAUACACCACUGACUUUCAGUACAACACCGGGUCGUGUCACCUGCAAAAGUAUUCUGACGACUCGGCUGUUGUUGGGUGUAUAAGUGAGGGACAGGAGGAGGAGUACAGGGCACUGGUAGACAACUUUGUGGAGUGGACUGGACAGAAUCACCUGCGGCUGAACAUCAGCAAGACCAGAGAGAUGGUGAUAGAUUUCAGGAAGAAGAGGAAGACGGCUUUCCAACCUCUGUGCAUUCUGGGAAAGGAUGUGGAGGCGGUGGAGGAUUACAAGUACCUGGGUGUUACCAUCAACCACAGACUGGAUUGGAGAUCUAACACUGAAGCUGUUUACAAGAAGGGGAUGAGCAGACUUUACUUCCUGAGGAAGCUGAGAUCCUUCAACGUGUGCAGCAAGAUGUUGGAGAUCUUUUAUCAGUCUGUGGUGGCCAGUGUACUUUUCUUUGCUGUGGUUUGUUGGGGAAGCAGCAUUGGAGCCAGCGACACCAACAGACUCAACAAACUGAUCAGGAAGGCUGGCUCUGUGAUUGGCUGCAAACAGGACACUCUGGAGGCUGUGGUGGAGAGGAGGACACUGAAAAAACUGUUAUCCAUCAUGGAUAAUCCUCUCCACCCUCUCCAACUCACACUGGUCAGACAGCGGAGCACCUUCUCCGGAAGACUGCUUCAGCUUCGCUGUCGAAGCAACAGAUACAGGAAAUCUUUCCUGCCACAAUCCAUCACUUUAUAUAAUAACUCUCUCACCUCUGCCUGA
ensembl:lncRNA